AUGGUAUGUUGUCCUAUCUCGCUGUAUACAGAUCUAAAUAUUGUUAGCCAAUCACAGACUGUGUUGUUACCAGUUCCCAGUAGCCUACAUCAGAGAACCAAUAAGAGUUGUGUCCGUGGCUUUCAGUCGAAUAGAGGAGUUCAUAGGCUUUCCCAGGGGGUCCGUGCACUCGAUUUUCGAGAGUGUCUGGCCAAGAUAGUUUCCUUAGAGACAAUGAAAAUAAUUACCAAGAUGUCCUUGAUCCGACUGAGGAGCCUACGCAUUCACACUCGAACGGAAUUGAAUGUGGGAUGCAUAACUACUUUUCACUGACGAAGGGAACGAGUCAAUAAGUGAUGAGCCAGAGCAACCAAUCACCGUCCCUGCAGCUGUUCUACCCACCACCCACACUGCUCUCCCUCCACAAGCAUGCUCAUCCUCUACUCCUGUUCAACUAAUUUGACACCAGACUGAAAAAGACUGUACAUACAUACCUCUGUGUCCAUCUCAUUGCAACAUGAUCCAACCAAGGCCAAAGAUGCCUAAAAUGUGAGAAAUGUAAACAAGAUGCUAUAGUUGUAUGUGUGUGUGUGUGUGUGUGUGUGUGUGUGUGUGUGUGUGUGUGUGUGUGUGUGUGUGUGUGUGUGUGUGUGUGCGUGUACGGACUUCCAAGAAAAGACAUGAGUGGAUGGCAAAUGAGAUAGCGAUGAGAGUGAGAGCAUAAGUAUGAAAAUAAAGACCCCUUGGGAUCUAAAAUGAAUAUGGGGUGCCCUCUUGUGUCUCCUUUUUUGUCCAUUUGAGGAUACCACAGUCACCCCUGGUGGAGGUUCUUGGAACACUGCUAUUUAAGUCUGAGCAGAGGUUGACGAAAACGUUCAAAGUUGGUGGUGCUACCAGGCAGAUGUUUGAGAAAGGGGUUCCAAAAGGGUUCUUUGCCUGUCACGAAAGGACAACCCUUUUUGGUUCCAGGUAGAAGUCUUUUUGGUUCCAUGAAAAACCCUCUGUGGAAUGGAGCCCGAAAGAGUUCUACCUGGGACCAGAACGGAUUCUCCUAUGGAGACAGUGGAACAAUCCUUUUAGGUGGUAGAUAGCACCUUUUUAUCUGAGUGUAGGCCUAUAUUGCAGUGGUGGUUCCGUGGUUUUCUGUAAUAAAAUAAAUGACAAAAAAAAUCAGAAAUACUAUGAAACAGACCCACUUUUAGCACACAUUUGCAAACAGGCAAAGUAACCUUCUAUGUGUGCUGAGGCACGUGUGAUCCCUCAACAUUGACAGGAUUGACAACAACAAAAAGUCAUGCUCACAUGCAAACAAACGUUAACAUGUCUAACUUGCACCGUUAUGCAAUUAUUAGGAGACUAGAUACAAAUAGCUAACACUGGCUACCAAUGUUCUAGCAUUCACUUAUUGAGGCAAGCAGAUCAGAGAUGUCAAGGUGGUACCCAAGUAUAUGCCAUGUGUAUAUGUGACACAUACAUAUGUAUGGUCAUAUGUUUUUAUGUUUUAUUUCAUUUGUUAUUUUAUUUUAUUUAUUGUAUCAUAAUGGAGGUUGGCUAGGUUGCUAAUGGUUUACAGUUAAGAGAAGGGAUUAGGAUGGCGUCUGAACAUUCUGUACUUUUUUUCAACAAUGUUUUAGAUCCAAUUUGUUUUAUUUUUUUAUGAACAAAAGCUCAGUUUACUUUACAGCACCAGAGUUGUGGGUUCGAUUAAUACCAAAAUGUGUGGACUAUUUUCACUUUCAAUAAAAGCGUCUGCUAAGUAAAUAUAUUACGGUAUUACAGUUCUGUAUUAGCCAAUGCAGUUUUAGCAACUUCGUUUUCUUUGGAUACAUGUUUACUGUAUAGGGGAUGCAUUUAUUUGUUUUUGACUUUGUGUACUGGUAUUGUAUUACUGCACUGUAAGAGCUACAAACACUAUCUGUGUACGCGACCAAUAAACAUUGAUUUGUUACAUAAAGCACAUCUCUAAUAUUGUCAAUGUCAGAUUUUUUAAAAACGUAUUGUGAAGUACAAUCAUAAAUCAUCAUAGUAGAUUCAAGUAUAUAUAUAUAUAUACUUUCUGUUUCUACUUCACAUACAUUUUCAUUAUGUAGUUCUCAAAAUCUGUAGGAGACAAACCAGAUAUGUAAAUGUAUAGGUUUACCAAAUGUUUAAAUGAUCGAUUAGGAGCAGUCGGAUUAAUAGUAAAAUCCAUAUUAACAAAAGAGAAUCCUAUCAAAAGUAAUGUGAGAGUUGCAUUGCGAAAGGCAAUUACUUUAUAUGAACAUGUAUUGCGAUGUGAAAAAGUGACUGUGUUUGUACUUAAGUCAAUUGAAAAUGUUCUUUAGUUUUGAAACUGCCGUUUGAUCAGUUUAGAGUUUUGUACUAAGUUGUGAAAAUUUACAUGUAAAACUUGCACCAAAGCAAUAAACCGCCAGUGUUAUUGUGUUUCCACCCACGUUGCAAAAUUGUUUCAUUAUUUUUAAUUAAUCCAAUUGGUUGAUCAUGAGUAAGACCCUUCUCAGAUUAUUUUUCCUACUGUCUAAUAUCAAACACUAUUUUCAGUAUAAUAUGUAGGGGUCAAUAAUAAGACCUCAGUUAAAUUAUUUUAAAUAAAACUUUGGUAUUAAUAACAUUGUUAUAAGAAGUGCGCAUUCCUAGGUGACAUUGCUGUACAACAUGGGGUUGACAUGACAGCAAUUAUAUGUUUGGUGUCCAACAGACCCUUGGCAUUGUUAGGAUGUAACGCCAUUCAACGAUCAAACAAUCACGAUACUUUCAAGGGGGGAAAAAAAAAAGGAAUUUUAAAAUUCAAAGCAGAAACCAACUGUAUUUGACAGUCACAGCAUUGAACAGGAGGGACAAUUUAUAAAUGACUAAUCUUUCACAAUAUUCAUCAAAACGCAGAGAACCCAACAACUGUUUUAAUUGGCCAAGCAUGUAAUCUCAUUGAACACGUAUGGAAACAAACAGUAAAGACAAACAAACAAGUGAGGAAAAUUCAGCGCGAAACAAAUUGAUGUAAUGAGAACACAGUAGAAUAACAAUGAGCUGAUGUGAAUGACAAAGUGCCAGGUUGGAUGAGAAGGCACGUUGAGAAACAUGUUGCACUUUACAAAACAUUCAGUGGUACAAGAACCAAUUUAUUUCCAAACGAUGACAACCAGUGACUUU
rnacentral:lncRNA from 13 species